GUAACUUCCCAAACAACAAAAACUUGUCCCUAGAUGUGGUGACUGUGAGCAGGAGUUAUUUAUAAAUUGUUACAAUGAAUUAGAAAUGUGUAAAAGUGAACUAAUAAUAAAUUUACUUUUGUAACUAAAGCUUGUUUACAAAUAUGUCUUUUGUGGUGAAUUCUGAAAAGACCUUGGCUGGGAACCAUAUAAUUUCCUUGUUUUUAUAACUUCUUUGCCUGUGGUGUAUCUUAAUCUGCUUCUAUGAGGUACUGUAGAUUUUAGAAGAUAGGCAGCCUGGAGGAAGCCAAACUUGCUUUUCCUCUGGGAUAUCAGGCUGGAAAGGAAAGCAAACUGCCUGCCACGCUGCUCGGCUUGUGCCAAGUAAUGCCUUUCAAGAGCUGGCAUGAUCCUUCCAUCUCAUUCACGUGACUUUUCUGUCUCAGACAGGCUACUGGGUGUCUCUUGCGGAAGAGGACACAAGAAAAAACACUGGAUUUCAACAGAAAAGUUGAGAAACCUGAAUUUAAGGUAUGCUAAGGAAAGUGUCACUCUCCUACCUGACAAAUGAAGGGGUUUGUCGAAGUUUAGAAGAGUUUUGAACAACAGUGCAUGGACCUGAAGUCCACGGCCGACUCCUCCUGCAAGCACCCUGCCUGCAGUUGCUUCAACCUUUGGGGUAGGAAGGAGAGUGUGUGUGUGUGUGUGUGUGUGUGAGCCUCAUGAGCUGCAUGAAGUCAAGAGCUGAGAAGCUUCCUGUUUCCUUUUUAAGGCUUAACAGAAUUUGAAAGCAGCCGCUGCUGCGACCUGGACCAAUGAUCUGGGCAGAGAGACGGGGGAGUUUCAGCUCGGCUGCGCCUGGCGCCCGUUACGAAUGCCAGCUUGGCCUUCUCCUCCCCACGUGGAGCACGGGCAAGAAGGGGCUGCCUGCAGGCCACUCCUGAGGGCAGCCAGGCUGAGAUGCAGCUGGACACCCAGUGUCUGCUCUUCCAGCAAGCGAGGGUCUCUGCCUAUUCCUGCCCCUGGGACACAUGAGCAGGGAUGUGGAUGCAGGAGUGAUGCUCUUGAGGCAAUUUCUUCUGGCUCUCUUGGAGGUGAUUCCCUGGCCUUUCACUGCCACAGAAGAAGCAGAAGAGGCUUUGCAAAGAGCAUAAAAAACCUAUUCCCACCCAGGGUAUUAUUAGAGGCUAUUCUUCCUGGAAGAGCUGAAGUUGCGAUACCAACACCCUGA
rnacentral:lncRNA from 1 species